AUGGAUCCUCUGCCGGAUAUAUAUCCCUUGACAAGCUUGCAGAUUGGGGACAUGCAGUCUUAUAUCUCCCGGGCGUUCCUCUACUUUGCGCCGGUGAGCAAGAAGGUGUUGAUUCUUGUGGACAACCAGCCAUGGAUGACCGGCAAGCAGUCCAGAUCCGCAAGGCUAUGGCAGUUCAUGAUCACAAAGUACAGGAUGUCUCCAUUUGUGAAUUUGAGGAGUGGCACCGACACGGCGGCGGCGAUGGCGACCACAGACAAAAGAAAAAUCACGACGGCGAUGCGAAGGUGGCUGGCGGUGGCGAACUCCACCCCGGCGCUGCUCCACGGGUUCCUGGUGUUCGAGGUGUCAUGGCGGGACGUGCACGGCAUCAACUACUACAACGACCUGCUCACCGACACGUCCCUCGCACUGGAGGCGCGCUACCUCAACAAGUGGGAGUUUUACAGUGCCGAGCAGGCCGCCGGUUGCGUGUCUCAGUGGUUCCUCGGCCGCGCCUCCGAGACGCACUCCCUCCAAGGGUACCUACUCUACUAUCACCACUAUCAUCAUCGUCCUCGUCACCAUCGCUCCUCCGCGGCAUCCGCCGGAGAAGAGGAACACGCUCGCGACGACGUUAUGAUGAUGGCAGCCAGCAGCAGCGGCGACGAGAGGUGCACGCCGAGAGCGGCGACGUUGAGGAGGAGGAUGAGCUGGCGGAGCAGGGCUAGGAGGAAGAACCUACAGCAGCAGAAAUACACCGAUCGCCAGGACCAGGAGGAGGAGGAGAAGGAGGGGGAGGAUGAAGGGCUUAGGGUUCCCAUGCAUAUGCAUAUGCAUAUGCAUAUGCAGCAGUAUAGGUACAAUGACACCUUGCUCCUGUUCCGGUCUCGGGACGCGGCGCUGCCGUUCAAGCUCCGGCAGAUCAUCACGUCAGACAUCCGGUUGCUGACGCUGCUCGAGUCUGGGCUGCCGUCGUGGGUCAUCUUCUUGCAGUCAUACCCGGUGUUGUGCCACAUGUACCGGCCAUGGAUGCGGCCCCUAGCACGGAGCCUCUACGUGCUCGCCUCCCUCGUCACCGUCAUCAUCGGCUUCUACGACCUAUACAAGAACGUGCCGCUGCUCAAGUCCGCGGCGGCGCGCAUCUGCGGCCCGCUCUUCGAGUGGAUCGAGACGUGGGACAUGGUGACCCGCAUCCAGUACCUGGGCACCAUCCUCUUCCUCCGCAACCUGCGCAAGUUCAUGCAGGGCCUGCUCACGCUCCUUCAAGCCGCCAGGGCACUGCUCCGUGUUAUGCUCGCUCCAUUGGCCGACCUAGGGUUGUGUCAGCUGCUUGCCACACUCGGCGUCCUAGCCUCACACGCGUGGGGCCUGGUGGUGGACCUGGCAGAGGUGGUGUGGGCGCCCUUCGACGUGGUGCUCGACUGCGUCGCCCGGGUUGUGUCGUCCUUGUGGCCGGUGCUCAAGGUGGUGGUGUUGCCGGCGAGGUUCGUGGUGGCGGUCGCAGCCUGCGCGGGGUCAGUGCUGUCCAACAGCUACAACUUCUUCAAGGACAUUUGGGAGACUCUGAGCAGCAUCUUCGAGCUCAACCACAUGUCGGAGGCGCAACAGAGCGCUUUUGACAUGACCACGCUCAAGACCUUGUGGAAUGACCUCUUCUCGCAGAUCUUCCGGGCCAUCAGGGGUAUCCUCAAUGGCAUCCUUGUCUUCUUCUACGCCUGCAACAGGCACAGGCUCAGCAUCUACAAUCACGCACAGACAAGGCUGCGAAAUAUGCUUCGUGUCACUAGAUUGGCGCCAAAACAACAUGCACCAUGCCACUGCAACUCCACCACCAAGCACCCAAACCAUGAGGAUGCACCCGUUCAAUGCGACGUAUGCAAGUGA
rnacentral:rRNA from 1 species